GUCACCGCGAGCACGCCAGCUCUCUGGCAGGACCCCUGCAGUCCCCCUGGCUGUGCCGGGUGACCAACCGUCUUGGUUUGUCCAGGAUGUUUCUUUGUCCCAGGAAACUCCUCUACCCCAGGCACAUGGGGACAGUGGGUCACCCUAUUUCUGUGGAUGGCUGUGAAAGUUUUCACUAACUCAAGGGGCAGCCCUGAACACCCAUUUGUGCUCACAGGUUGGCCAAGAGCAGCUUAGAGGAUCCCCCAAGGAUGAAAGAGUGUCAAGCCAUGAUGGAAAAUGCCCCUUCCAAUCAGCUGCCUUCGCAAGCAGGGAUCAGAGCAACCCCCCAGGGAUCCCCAGUCCACGCCCUUCUAGUCCAACCCCCCUCAAUGAGAGAGGCAGGCAGAUCUCACCCAACACUAGGACACCAGGAAGCCAGGUAACUUUCUGCAGCUUUUCCAUAGAAGCCCUGGUCCCGCCUCCCUGGCUCUGCCCCAGGAACCUCCCGGCCUGGGCUUCUGAGCUGGGAUGUGCUGAGGUCAUCCCAGACAGGAGGGAGGGCUGGCUGAAAUCCACAAACUGCAGAGCAGCUCUCUGAUGGCGUCCCACACAGAAAAUGUUAAGGAUUCCAAGAGCCCUCCCAGACCAGUGAUGUGUCCCUCCAGCUCCCCUUGCCUGUGGGGAAUCGAGUCUGAGUCACUUGAUGAGUAGGCACUGGAGCAGUUACUCAGGAUGCUGCGGCCCUAGCCCUCCAUGCAGCCCAUCUUCCCUCAUCUGGGUGGAGACACACAUUUGGGGCAAAGGCCCCUUCUUGGCAUCAAGGAACACCAGCUACAAACCAAGUCUAGCACAGUGUUUAGAGGCUCUGCCCUGAGGCUCUGCUCUGGGGAAACUUUCACAGUAGAGACCUUGGGGUGUGCGCUUUGGGACUCCCUCAGUCUCUCACUGUGCUGUGUCCUUGCAGCAGGGCCGAGGUAGCACCCUUCUCUGUCACUUCCUGCUCAAGCUGGAGGACCCAGGCGGCAGGGCAUCAUGCCCAGCUGGCAUCUGCUGUCCGUCUUUUCUAGGGAAAGCAUUUCUGGCUCACCAUGUAACAUCUGGCUUGGAGCGAGUGGAUGUUCUGCACACCUGGCAGCUGUGCCUCACUGGAUCUAGUGUUGCUGCGAGUGCCCUCACUUCAGAGCCCCUCUAGCAGAGUGGGGCGGAAGUCCUGAUGGUUGGUGUCCAUGAGGUGGAAGCUGCUUUUAUACUUAAAACUCAGAUCACAACAGGAAAUGUGUCAGUAACAAUGGAACUCCAUCCAAUGGGAAAGUUCCUGGUACUGAAGGGGUCCAUUGGACACUCAGAAAAGAAGUUCAGGGGCCAGCUUCUUAGCUGGAAGCCUGGCCAGAUGAGGACCCUCUCCGGGGAAGGGAGAGGACUGACUUAGUGGAAGAUGGUGAAGUAAGGAGAGUUUAGGGGACCCUCCCCCCAAUGGAACAGAUCUCAAGUUUACCCUAAACCUGCCAUUUCUGGAAAAUCUGUAAAGAGGAAACAGCCUGUCUCAGUUGUACUCUCAUGAUACAGGUCAUUUGAAAUGAACCAAGAAAUAAAACAUAAAAAUCCAAUCACGGAGAAGGUGAUAUGGCUGGGUUUUGUUUGGUCCCCUUGUCCUCAUACGUUCUAAAGUUUCCAGACUGGCUUUGUCACUUUGUGAACUCGUCAUGUGUGAAAACCAAUCUUUGCAUAUAGGGAACUUCCUCGGGCCACACUUUAAGAAUCAAGUAAGAGGCGCUCAAGACUCCAGCAGAGCCAGGAGGCCAUGGCAGCGCCUCAGAGGAGCUGGAACCUGCACCCACCUGUGUCGGGGGGGGCCUCCUUUCCCCAUAGACUCCGCCCUCCCUCUGUGCAGAUGGAAGUGGCAGGGGAGGGUGACCAGCUUGUGACAAGAAGACCGAAGGGUCCAGAGUCCAUGCUCACGGAACAGCACCAAAGAAAAGCACUAUGUGGAAAGAUUGUUUUAUUUUCUAAUAAUGAUAAUAUGGCUGGAAUGGCUUCUCAAGAUGUAUAUAUUUUUUAAAACGGCAAUUUCCCAUUGCAGCAUCACCUACUUGUACAUCUUUCUGCCUCUGUAUAUGUUCUCCACAGACCCCCAUGUAAAUCAAAUGCCGUAGGAUGCUUCCAUCCUGGUCCCAUGUAUCUGGAAUCUAAUAAAUAAGGAAAGG
rnacentral:sRNA from 1 species